GAUCAUGGCUCAGGAUGAACGCUGGCGGCAUGCCUAAUACAUGCAAGUCGAACGAGAGGAAGGAAAGCUUGCUUUUCUGAAUCUAGUGGCGAACGGGUGAGUAACACGUAGGUAACCUGCCCACCACUUGGGGAUAACCUUGCGAAAGUAAGACUAAUACCCAAUGAUAUCUCUAGAAGACAUCUGAAAGAGAUUAAAGAUUCAUCGGUGAUGGAUGGGGAUGCGUCUGAUUAG
rnacentral:rRNA from 1 species